rnacentral:rRNA from 1 species
GAUGAACGCUGGCGGCGUGCCUAAUACAUGCAAGUCGAGCGAACAGACGUGGUGCUUGCUCCUUCUACGUUAGCGGCGGACGGGUGAGUAACACGUAGGUAACCUACCUAUGAGACUGGGAUAACUUCUGGAAACCGGUGCUAAUACCGCAUAAUAUCUCUAACCGCAUGGUUCGAUUGUGAAAGAUGGCUUUGCUACACCUAAUGGUUGUCCCUGCGUCGUAUAAGCUGGUGGGUAAGGUAACGGCUUACCAAGGGAACAAUAAGUAGCCGACCGAAGGGGUGGACCGGCAACACGGGAACUGGGACACGGCCCAGAUUCCUACGGGAGGCGGCAUUAGGGAAUCUUCGGCAUGGGGCAAAGGCCGGACGGGCCAAGGCGGCUUGGUGGAUGAAGGUCUCGGGAUGGGAAAACCCUGUUAUAAGGGAAGACGAAAGGUGUAAUGAAAUGCGCACGAAGUGACGGUACCUAAUCAGAAAGCGACGGCUAACUACGUG